rnacentral:rRNA from 1 species
GACGAACGCUGGCGGCGUGCUUAACACAUGCAAGUCGAGCGGUAAGGCCUUUCGGGGUACACGAGCGGCGAACGGGUGAGUAACACGUGGGUGAUCUGCCCUGCACUUCGGGAUAAGCCUGGGAAACUGGGUCUAAUACCUGAUAUGACCUCCUAUCGCAUGGUGGGUGGUGGAAAGAUUUAUCGGUGCAGGAUGGGCCCGCGGCCUAUCAGCUUGUUGGUGGGGUAAUGGCCUACCAAGGCGACGACGGGUAGCCGACCUGAGAGGGUGACCGGCCACACUGGGACUGAGACACGGCCCAGACUCCUACGGGAGGCAGCAGUGGGGAAUAUUGCACAAUGGGCGAAAGCCUGAUGCAGCGACGCCGCGUGAGGGAUGACGGCCUUCGGGUUGUAAACCUCUUUCAGCAGGGACGAAGCGCAAGUGACGGUACCUGCAGAAGAAGCACCGGCUAACUACGUG